UAAAUGUUUGACCAAAUAUAGUAGGCUAAUUUUAGGGCUAAGUUGAUACUUUUGUAUGGCUUGUGAAUGAUGUUAUAAAUAUCCAAGUGGCCCUUGGCAG